rnacentral:rRNA from 1 species
UACGUAGGGUGCGAGCGUUGUCCGGAAUUAUUAGGCGUAAAGAGCUUGUAGGCGGUCUGUCGCGUCUGCUGUGAAAAUCCGGGGCUCAACCCCGGACUUGCAGUGGGUACGGGCAGACUAGAGUGUGGUAGGGGAGACUGGAAUUCCUGGUGUAGCGGUGAAAUGCGCAGAUAUCAGGAGGAACACCGAUGGCGAAGGCAGGUCGCUGGGCCACUACUGACGCUGAGAAGCGAAAGCAUGGGGAGCGAACAGG